rnacentral:lncRNA from 1 species
ACCUUAUAAAUGUUUCUAUUCCAUAUUUUAUUGUCGCAAUUUCGAUAUUUAUACAUUAAUUAAUUUAUCACUCAAAUGACUACUACAGUACGUUGCGAGUCCUGAUAAAUCGUUGAAAAAUACAGUUUCUCGUUCAUCUCACAAUAUAUUAUACUCAUAAAUUCUUUCGAUGUGAGGGCGAAUAGGCGACAUUUAAGGUAUCCUUCCGCUCCUUGGUAAUCGAGAAUGGCUUUGACAUUUUCAAUGUGUUCGUUAGGGUUAGUGGUCUCGUCGUAUAAGUACAUGUAAGGGGGUUUCUUCAACGCUCUUGGUAUUAUGGAGUUCAUGAUACACUAUGUUAAGGGUCCUAGAGACUCGCAAGAUUCGUGUGGUUCCCGAUGAGUCAUGUAAGCCAGAGACAAGACGAAAUGUGACCUUGAUCUAGUGACUCCUCUUCUCGUGAUGAUGAUGCUAGCGCAUCUCCCUAGGUGGGGAGUCCUCAUAGGACCUUAUGCGGUAUCCUCGAUCUAAUGACUCUUAUGGAGAACAUCUCAUGCAUUCAAGAGGCGAUGACCUUUAGCCUCUUCUUCUAGGCGAAGCAUUGUGACGACGUCGUCUCACAGAACCUUCAUUGAAUUCCAGUGUCUCCUGGGAUGUUACCACUGUGGGGAUGAUUGGUUGUUGGUUCUUCAUAGUGUUGAGACGCCGGUUCUAUUUCAAGAUCAAUCAAGGUUGUUCUUGAAUCAAGGGAAGGAGCUUGUCGAGGGUUUCUCUUUAUUCUGGACCAUCAUGAAGUUGACAUCCUCGUUAGGCCCGUGUGUAGGACGAGAAAAAGUGUGUACAUUCUCUGAUGUCAGAGGUACUAUAUAUAUAAAUUGGAGUCCUAACAUGGAGAGUGGCAAUCGCAAUGAAGGAACAUUAUUACGAGCGGAUUCGGCGGAGUGCUAUAUUAAAGUCGUAACGGG